GCUGUGAGGAUGAUCUGGCUGAAGCAUCUACCAUCCCAUUGAUUUUUAGGUUUGAUUUGGCUGAUCUGGCUUCCUGGAUGGGUGUCCCCUUCCUUCCUCACCACAGCAUGUGCAUCCCUCUCAAAGCUGAGCACUCAGCCCAAGAGGAUGACGUCCCAAGCAGAGGAGGGUCCCUCGAGAGUGUGUGGAUAGCUGUGUUCCUUUGAUAAAACCUGCAAUAAACCCAAUUAAAUCUUGGAUGUAUGCUUGCUACUGCAGGACACAGAGCAUGUUCAGUGUUUUUUGAAGUUGAUAGAUGUUUUGAUUUUAUAA
rnacentral:snRNA from 1 species